GGAGAGAUGGCUGAGUGGAUUAAAGCGGCGGAUUGCUAAUCCGUUGUACAAUUUUUUUGUACCGAGGGUUCGAAUCCCUCUCUUUCCG
rnacentral:tRNA from 2 species